CAAUGUUCGUUUGGUUUUUUCUUUGCCAUUUUCAUGAUUAAAAAAUUCUUUAUAUCCAACUUGGAAAUCCAAAACUAAUUUUACGUUCUGUAACUCUAAUUUUACAUUAUUUCAUAUAAAUAUUACGUUGGCUUAAUUAUUAAUAAAGUAAUAAUGCACAUAUAAUAUAUUCACAAAUAUAAAUAAAUCUAUUAAAAUUUAUAUAAAAAUAUAUGUUCAACUUAAUAUUAGUGGUCUACUGGUAACAUAAAUGGGUUGAUUUCUUUGGACCACAGAUUUAAAUCUCUUUUAAUAUAAAAUACCAUUAAAAAAUAAAUCUAAUUUUGAAUAUUGAAUCAAUUAUAAACCGAAAACAUGGAACUCCUAUAAUCCCUAUAAAGGAAAUGUAUUACAUAAAAUGUAAUUUUAUUAGUAUGAGAUCAAACUAGUAAUUAGAAUUCAUCACCCUCAUAUUGUUUAACACAUUUUCUUAGCUAAAAUUACAAUAUACUUUCUGCUGAAACUGUUCAAUUUAAUACUCCAUUUGUCACAUGCAUUGUUGAAUUUACUUAAGUAGCUAGCAAACAAAGAUGCCAGUAACAACAACUAUUUAUAUUUUUCCAAAGUUAUGACAAUUAACUCGACCGUUACAGUUCGCAAAUGCCAUUCACUUGGUUUACAAACGUGUUGAUGUCGUAUAUCUACUAUUUAUUAAUACAAACAUGUCUAUAAAAUCUUCCUUUUUAACAAUGUCCAAAUAAAAUUCAGCUUGUUAGAAUAAGUUACAUUUUCUAUGAAUCACAUAUGCACAUACAAAUAUGCAGCAUAAAUAUUAUUUCUAUAAUUUGGGCAGGGCUUGUAGCUUUACAAAAUAUUACAGUAAUGGAAUUUGAGAGAAAGUAGAAGAAAUCGACUAAAAAUAUAUACAAAUUUCGUAAAAAAAACAAAUUAUAUAAAUUUCAAUAAUAACUAUGAAUUUUGUGACAUUUUAAUUAUCAACUUUAACAUGAAACGUUUUUGACCAUGAAAUCCACAGCAGUCAAAAGAAAGGAUAAUUUAGCAUGAUUGACUACAUUAUAUAACUUAAAAAAUUUGCCAUAAAAAUAUGUAAGAUGGAAGACUCUUUCAACAUAUAUAGAGACUAGGACCAACCAAUCUCAAUGAUUUAUAUCAGCAGUUAUUGUUAAUCUAAUCAUAAAAGCAAAAGUAUAAUAAUAAUACGUAUAAGAGACAGCUCUUGUGAGCGAUAGCAUGAUCGACACGUGUCAACUUUUAGCGGCGCUAAAAAAAAUAUACGAUCUACGUAGUCACGCAUACAGACCAGAGUUCCACCGUUGUCUUUUUAAUCAUUUACUUUUUUUUUUUUUUUUAUUUUUUAACGUCUGAACAUAUUUUAUUAAUAUAUCAAAGUACAAGUAGAGUUAUAAAAUCGUUUACAAAGCAACGAAAUACAAUUUAUUACAUAAGCAGAAAUAUGCGACAUAUGCUGAAGACAAAUCAUUUGUAGAAGUGAAGAUUGACGUUGCUUUUUUGUCCAAUAAGCCUUACACGCUAACAGAACAUGUGAUCUGUUAUUUUCCUUCUCCAUAACUUGUCUCGCUCUGAUAUGAUAGGUAUGCCUUAUUGGCAUUUUAUUUGUUUUCCAUAUCAUACAGUAAAACCUCAUUGUAUUCGGGGCGUCGACACGGUACCAAUUAGUCCGUAUCCGUGUUCUUUGAAUCAAAGUAGACUCUAUAAUACUCUUCUUGCAACUCCGGUAAAUUAACCAUUUACACCAUCCACUCAUAUGCAUUGAUACUCUCCGGUGCCAUGAUGGCUUCCAAUACCCAAACAAUCGUACUAAUAUUUCAAGUGAGAAAUUAACAUCAAUACCUUCAUAUAUUUGAGACACCAUCUCUGAAAGAUUGUAAGCGCCAAACAAAUCUUGAUAGAUGUCAAACAAGCCCGUUGACAAGGACACUUGUAAUACACAUAGGUUUCUCUCUCCAAACAUAGUUUCCUCAUGCACACAAGUUCUUCUAUGUACUCUGGAGGCCGUGCCAGAUUUUGACGGUAAUAGAUGCACGAUGAAAUCAAUAUCAUAGUCUCCAGGCCAAGGUGGCCUGAGGAAUGAUUGCGUCUCUCCAUGAAUGACCAGAAGAGGAAGAAAAGCAUCGUGCAACAAGUGCUCGGGUAAGGCGCCAACGAAAUCAGUGAGAUUUCCCGGAAAUACACCAACAAAUUCAACAUGAUUUGUUGGAAGAACACGCUCCAAAAUGGAGAAAAUCAAAACUUCGAGACGUGAUUGCUCCGAAACUCUAUCCCAUAAUUUCAGAAUUGAACGAAGGGAAACCAGGCCUAUGGAAAUAACAGUCACAAGAGGCGGUGCUUGGAGUGAAGGAAGAGAAUCACGUCGUCGGAUAGAUAAAUAAAAGCGUUGAUUGGAUAUGAAUCCAAACGUGAGUAGUAUGAUACAAAUCAUUAAAUUAUUGUGGAAACAAAAGAAAAAAGAAAGAAAACCGGCGGCCGGAACCGCCGGUGGUGCUCGUAAAAGUGAAAAGGUGUGUUUUAUAUAAUCGCUCUGUAAAUCGCCUCUAGAGAGAGAGUUUUUGACACUCUUUGACUAUUAAUCAUUUACUUUUAUUGUUGAAAAAAUCACUUUAAUCUUUUUCAACCUUUGUAACAGAGAGAUCCACGCUGUCACCUAAACCUUUUUUUGUCUAAUUUUAUUUUUCCCAAAAAUAAUAAAGAGAAAUUUCAGAGAGAGAAAAAAAGGAAAAAUAAAAAUAAAUAAAAAAAGUCAGGCGUCUUUCUGCAGAAUUCACAUUUGGUCUCUCUCUCUCUCUCUCUCUCUCUCUCUCUCUCUCUCUCUGUAUUGUAUACGCUUCUAGAGGGAAGAGGAAGAAGAAGAAGAAGAAAGACUCAUGUCUGGUCUAUACAACAACAACUCUUCUUACUUCUCUCCUGCUAGAGCUGCUUCUCCUCAGAUCAGAAGCACUCCUGAGAUCGACAGGUAUAUAUGCUCUCUCUCCUCUGAUCUCUUCCUCUCGAAAAGAACACUCCUUUUGUUUGGUUUCUUAUAGCAAUAAAAACCGAUCUGAUUGUUCCUUCUUUGCUCGAACAGCUCUCAGUACUUGACGGAGCUUCUCGCAGAACAUCAAAAGCUCACACCUUUUAUGCAAGUCUUGCCCAUAUGCAGCCGCCUUUUGAAUCAAGGUUUCUCCUUUUCUUGAUUUUGAUUCGGAUCUAAACUGUAUAUUCCACCUCUUCUCUUUCCUUUUUUUAUUACAACACUUUCCCACUCCAAUUUUCUUACUUAAUGUUCAAAUCAGUUAAUCCAAUCAACACAGUGAGAUUUAAGUUGAAUGGACAGAUCAUUGUUUGGGUCUGUGAAUUCAAAUCAGUUAAUCCAGUCUUACUGAUAUGUCUUAACAUUACUUAUUUUAGUACAAGCUGUAGUGUCUUUUAGUUUCCUUGUUGUGGUUGUUGAUUUGAAAGGCUUUAUUGAUGUGCAGAGAUGUUCAGGGUAUCUGGAAUGAUGCCUCCUAACCAAGGAUUCGGCGAUUUUGAUAGACUCAGACACAGAAGUCCAAGUCCUAUGGCUUCUUCUAAUCUUAUGUCUAAUGUCUCUAACACCGGUUUAGGUGGUUGGAACGGUGGUCUCUCUCAGGAGGUAUUAUUAUCAUCUAAUCCAUUGUUUAAACUCUGUACCUAUGUUGUCUAAGAUGUGUUUGCACUGUGUGCUUCUUACAGAGACUUAGUGGAACACCUGGAAUGACAAUGGAUUGGCAAGGUGCACCUGGAAGUCCCAGCUCAUACACUGUGAAAAGGAUAUUGCGUCUGGAGAUUCCAGUAGAUAGCUAUCCUAAUGUGAGUAAACUCAUUCUGCUUCCUCAUCAUUUUACUCCAUAAGCUUUUUUUUAAUCACUCUUUUCUGUUUUUUACUUGCUAUUUUUACCAGUUCAAUUUUGUUGGAAGGCUUCUUGGUCCUAGAGGCAACUCAUUAAAACGUGUUGAAGCUACCACUGGUUGCCGUGUGUUCAUCAGAGGGAAGGGUUCAAUCAAGGAUCCAGAAAAGGUGAGAGAUGUCCAUGAAAUAUUUUUAACAAACAUGUCGUAUGCUUCAGAUGAGUAUCUUAUGUAUUUGAUGAUUAAAACAAUUAUAGGAAGAUAAGCUAAGGGGAAGACCAGGCUAUGAACAUCUAAAUGAGCAGCUUCACAUCUUGAUAGAAGCAGAUCUUCCAGCUAGUAUUGUGGAGAUUCGUCUGAGACAAGCUCAAGAAAUCAUAGAAGAGUUACUAAAGCCUGUGGUGAGUACACAUUCCCCACUACUUUCUUAACUCUUUGGAAUUUUCCAGUGUUCUAAAAAUCGGUUUAGUCGGCAAAUGGGGUCUGAAGAAACAAUUUAAUCUGAUUUUUUUUUAAGUCGGUGUUGGCGUCCCUGUUUAACUCUAUAAAACGCCUAACCACCGCCUAGUGAUUUUUUUGAACAUUGGUAUAAUCAGUACAAUGACAAUUAAGAUAGUAGCCACGUUUUUUAUUUUAUGUUCUUCCUUUGGUUGGUUAGCCUCAUUGAGAUCCUCUAGACUUAUUGCAUGUAGGGCCACUUGUUUCUUGUCACAACGUUUAUAUUUCAGUACCCACUCUUUGGUAGUUUGCGGUUGAUAUUCAACUAUGCAGACAUGUGUGACCACAAACACCAGUCAAAGCUUCAUUAUUGUUUUGUCUUUGAUCUCUUAUAACAUUGUUAUCAACCGCAGUCAUAAUAUGGAUUACAUUUUUGACAUAACGUUUUGUGUAUUUUUGUGUGGUUUAAUAAUGAAGGAUGAGUCUCAAGAUUUCAUAAAGAGGCAGCAGCUGAGGGAGCUAGCGUUGCUAAACUCGAACAACCUGAGGGAAGAGAGUCCAGGACCAAGCGGCGGUGGAAGCGUUUCGCCUUUCAAUUCAAGUGGUAAACGCCCCAAAACAGGAUGCUAAGGAGCGUUUUGUGUUUCAGUCAAAGGAGCGUUUUGUUGUUUCAAGGGGCGUUUUAAAUGGUACAUGUCUGCAUACACAAACACUCAUGUGUGUAUACUUGGUUCUGGCCCAGUACUUGCUGCAGUGGUGGUGGUCAAGUUAAGGCCUCCCUGGUCUCUCUCCGGUGAGCGACCCUGUGGCUUUCCUUUUCUUUUCCUUUUAUUUAUUUUUUGUUUUAUUCGUCUUUAUAAGACGAAUAUCAGAGAUUCAUUACAGAUUAUUUAUAUAAAAAAAAAGAUUUAGAAAAAGAGAGAAGAAAAAAAUGUUGAAAUAUAUAAUGUGUAUGUAGGGGAAAAAAUGUGGCUGGGGAAAGGGAGUGUAUUGAAAUUCUUAUUGUAAAAACAAAAAAAAAAAGAAAAAAAAAACACAUUUAUUGGAUUGAUUCUUAUGGUUUGAUUUUGAAAAGUUUUAUCUAAAACUUUGCUUCUUUUUUAUUUAUAUCAGACAUUAUUUCCAUAUUUAUCUGUCCACUAAAUUCUUUUUUUUGGCUAAGUCUAUAUCAUAUAACCUUUGAAAUGUGAUUAGUAUAAUAUGACAAGUUGUGACAUACCCUUGUGUAUAUACUGUCAUGUUAUACAUGUAAUUGAUGGGUUGAAAUUUGAAAACGAUAAUAUCAAAAUAUUUAUGGAACGAAGUACAUUGGGUUAGGAAUCUUGAAGGUGCGAUUCCCUGAAUAUUCUCCUUGUAUGUCACUCCAUUGGUCGCCUACAUUGCCCCAUAUCCUGUAACCUUCUUCCAUCAACUGCUUUCUGAUUGUUGUUUUGUAUGUUGCUGCGCUUUGUUUUUUGUUCUCUGCUGUCCUGCAAGUAGAGAAUCAUUUUGUCCACAUCGUGAGAGGCUUUAUCUUCGAAAAGAAAAGAUACUACUAAAUAAGUAAACCUUCUUUUUUACCUCAUAAUCAAUCUUUCAUAACCAGUGAAGCCUUGAUCAUGCAAAUUUUCAACUGUUGCUUGGCGAAGGGUCUCUUCAUCUCUCCCGGUUACUAGGAAAACUUUGAAUCCUAUUUCUAUCAGAUCAUUGAAGAGUUCGAGAACAGGUUGUAUAGCUGGAGAUUCUCCUUUCAUUGCCCAUGUUCUAAAUCCUGUUGGAUCAUAAGGGUCGCAUCUACAUGUUAACAAAGAGAGCAUAACAUAACAUUAGUCACAUUUUUCUAAACUUUUUGUAUUCAAUCAAGAAAAAAACAAGUGUAUACCCGUAUCUCUUGAGCCGAUAGUAGUAGACGUUUGAGAAGCAAGUAUCAUCAACAUCCAAGAUCCAUGCAUCCAUGCCAUCACCAGGAAGGACUAUCUCAUUGAGAUAAACCCUAACUUGUUCCACAAUCAACUCAACGUCUCUGUCAUAUUGACCAGCGAGCAUAUAUGCCUCAACGUAACGCAUACAUUGUAGAGGUACGGUGCGCCACGCACGUACGUUGUUGGUUUCUAUUGCUAGUCUCCAGCUUAAGCAAUAGCUAGCUGGAUUGUUUCCAUCCAUCGGUAUCCAUGGACUUGCGCUUGUUGCCACUACGGAGAUUGUUAGAAAGAUGAGAAGCAACAUCACUCUCUUAUGUAUCUUUAUUGCUCUUGAUUAUUCUGCUUUCACUUGUGAAGAAUGAGGAUAAACAAAAUUAGAGGUCUUUUGUUUGACACAAGAGGAGAAUGGUUGAGAAAGAAGUUUGGUUAUAUUGAGAUCAGUGGUGAAACAAGAAGACUAAUAAAAGGAGAAAGGAAGCUUGAAGUGGAUCAGCUUUACUAGUAUUGUAGUUGUGCGAAGAGAUGUUAGUUAAAGAGUGGUAUUUAAAGAGCUUGGUUUGGUAUAAGAUACUGGUUUCAUCCACUAAGUCUCCACUUUUUUUUUCUUAAGACCAACUUAUGAGGUAUGCACAAGGAAAAUAUUAUUAACAAAUGGAAAAUGGGGUCAAAACUAGCAAGCGCACAAAUCACUAAGGCACAUCCUAUAUAUGAGCCACUAUUUAUAUUCCAACACUUUCACAUAUAUAUACCAUGCAUAUCAUCCUCUUCUAUAUAUAUACUAAAUAAUACAUCAUUGGCAUUUUUACUAAGUGGCAUGACAUCUUUUAGUUAGUAUAUAGUGUAUCACUAGGUGGAGGAGCUCACUAGCCGUUACAUACAUAAGUAAGACAAACCUACUUAAAGCACUUUCCAUGCAUGGUCAAAGUUGUAGGUUUUGUUAACACACUGAGACUAUAUUAACUUGAAGGAUACAUUGUGAGAUUCAUAGGUGAAACACAACCUUAUGUACAAGAAGAUAACCUAGGGUGUAAGGUUUCAUUUGAGGUUUUCUUGAUAUAAGCCCUAUUGUACUUUUAUAUGGUCAAUUUAUGUAAGAAAACAAAAAAAAAUUGUAUUGUUUCUUAGAGCGAGGGCCUAUGGAGCGUCUUACAGGUAAUUAUCAAGAAAUUAAUAAAGAGUGGACACACAUUUGUCAAACCAACAAAAAAAAAAAUGAACCGACCAAAUAAGACUACAUAAUGGAUUUGGAUGCUGACAAGGAUUAGAUUGUUAUUAACUUUUGUCAACGUAAAAGUGGAUGACACGUUAGUAGUAGUGUAAUGGAAAAUGUAAAGGACAGCAAGUAAUGGAGUUAACACUACUACUAGAUUGAUAAGUUCGUUAAGAGUUGUUAGCCUAUGAGUUCAUCUCAUUAACUAACGCUCCUUCUCAUGUAUGGUUUAAGUUAUUAUACACUUGAUUGCCACUCGUAACACCUUUUUCAUCUAAUCCAUUUACAUUUCUUUAACUGGUUGGGAGAUGCUCUCCCAUUUGAAACGAUAAAACGUCAUCAAAACACCACUUAUCUGCCGGUCCCAAGGUCAAGAGUAUUGUUUUUUUUUCCUAACGAAGAGCAUAACAUUCACUUUGAUCUUGAAGAGCUUAAAAGUCCAUCUGAUAGAAGACGGCAAAGGAGAGGCAACAAUAGGUCAAGACGAAUGGUACAUGUUUCGCUAGAAGCCAUGCAUCCAAUGGUAUACCAUUCUCUUUACUUUACAUCUUCAGCCAUGUCUUAGAUAAGAAGAGUUCACAAUGACUAUAAUGGAAAUCAAUACAAGAAAUAAACUUCAAAACUUCGAUAAAAUGUGCAAGAAAGUAAGUUUGACAUGUUUGGAAUAAAAGAAGCAAAAGAAAAACCUAAAUUAUAGACUCCUCUACUUACUACCUCCAAGACACUGAACUGUGAUAUCCUUACACAAACAUCAUAGCCAGAACAUUCUAAGAAUGUGUCGGCAAAUGGACAUAGAAGCUCUUGAUAAAUCAACCAGAGAGCCUCUCUGUCUUAAACAAAGCCUCAUGCAAUAUAAAAAAAAGAACACACACAUUUAUCUCCUCACCUCAACAGAACUUCCAGUGGUUGUCACAGUUGACACACGUAACAUAAGUAGUCAUCGGCUCAUCAGCACUCCUCGUCUGCAUCUGAUAGUAAGUGCAUUUACGCUGCCCACACCUCCCACACUUGAACUGAUCAGUACUCGCUUUCGGCGCCUGGCCACGCUCACAAUCAAACAGAAACUUCUCCUUGAUCUGAUUAGUCUCCUGUUUCCUCUUGUCGCUUGCCAUCUCUUCACCAGACAAUGUAAUAAGUUUCUCCGGCGACACCUCCCCUGUGAGAACCCUCCUCCUCAGAUCCGGAUUGUUACUGUCCCUCAGGUUGAACAUUAUAGACCUGUACUUCACCUUCUGAGCUCCCGUUGACCGUCCCAGCUUCUCAAACAUGUGAGACUCCACCGAGACAGCGACGCGGAUUGGAUCACAUCCAACAACUCUCGCUCUAUCGUAGUCAUCUGAUUCGUCAUGGACCUUGGACAUUGCGUCCACAAGCAGCUCACGGAUCUUGUCACGCACAGGGUCGUUGCAUUUCACCAUCGAAGUCAGCUUUGGUGCACCAUUAAGUGGUGCCUUAGCUGGAGCUUUCGUACUAGAUUGAUUCUCCUUUGAGGCCCCAGCAUUGACUUUGUUGUCUCGUUCCUUCCUCUCUUCUACCUUGAUGCUCUUAGCUGAAUCACCUCUCUGAAGCUUCUGCACUUUCACAGGCGCUGGAUUUGCAUCCUUCCUGUCAAGCUUAGACUUGGAUGUCUCUUCAAUGACAAGUUUCUUCCAUGUCUCAAGAAGAUCAGUAGCUACGGUUUUUAUUUCUUCAAUAGGAUGUUUUGAAAGAGACCUUAGCUUCUUCCCUACCUGGAAGCAAUAACAUGCUAUUAGAGUGAUUUUUAAAUCUCUCUAACAUUGUUUGAGCAUAAUGAGAUUAGAAUUAAAGAUAAAUCAGUUUUAAUUUCCUGUGAUUUUGAACCUCUCUAAUAUUGUUUGAGCAUAAUCACAAUAAGCUUCAUAAAGUUUUAAUCUUUUCAAUUUUUUUGAAAAGUUUCAGAUGAGAUUAAUGAACCCUAACACAAGUCAAUGCUAUGAGAUUAAGGCAAGCAACAGAUGCAGAGAACCCUCUGAUUCAAACAGCGUAUUAGGCAAAAAAGAUCGAGACUUUGUAGAUUAAAGAGAUGAAAUUUGAAAAGAACCUGAGUCGCGACGAGCAUGUCGUAUGUGAUGGGAAACUUCUUGAGCUGUUUAAGGGCGUCGAGAGAUCGAGAAACCUCCGGACCUGAGGAGGUAACGCCGUCGAUCGCCGCCGCAUCGGCUGCCUUCUUCGCCGCCUCGAACAAUUCGAUCAAUUCGCUUUCCAUCGUCCUUCGAAUCGUUAACUUAUUCGCAAAAUCAAGAUAGAUUCAAGCCGAAUCAGAAGCAAUAAACCCACAAAAAAUUGCUGCGAUUGAAGAAUAAGAAGAAUGAGAUUUGUUCGGCGGAACUUGGUUCUUGUCGGGACGGAGAAGAUAGAGAUUACGUAGUUAAACAGUGUUUUUAUUUGGCGAUCUAACGGUUUCAGUUACAACUUUAGGGAAUCAACGGUUUAGAUCACGUGACUUGGUCUAUGGAUGUUACUAGAUUCACGCUUCCGCUCGAGGUUACUACAUCAAGUAUGGGCUAUAUAAGGCCCUUAUUGGGCCAGAGUCGUUUUAUAGUAACAAAAACAAAACUUUCCUUUUUUCUAUUUGUACUAAAUAAACAUGACAAUAUUCAAUUAUUUCAUUGUCUCCCUACUGGAAUCACUUGGAAAAUAUGACAAUAUCCUCUUUUCUUUUCUAGAAUCCACACAUAUUAAUCCUGUUUAAUGUUAUCAAGAUUUAACAUAGAUAACAUUUAAUCAUUGAUCCAAUAACCUUUAAAAUGGAUUUUUCCAGAGUGUGUGUGUGUCGACAAGACUCGAGAGUCACCGUAAAUCUAGGCAUAUUUCACGUUGAAGUAAGGAAAGAAAGAAAGAGAGUUGAACUUUGAAAUGGACGACACGUGAGCGGUGAAGGCAAAGGACCCAGACGUCGACGUACUCGUGCUAAGCCGUCACCGACGUGAAACACGUGCGUGCCAUGCAUUAUGAAAACACAAUAUGCUUUUUUCUCAGUAAAGUUAUCUAACAAAACAAUAAUCUCUUCUUCUUUCAAAAUGAACAAAUGAUUAGUCAUUAAAAUACUAUAUAUGUUAUAGAUUGUAACUUCUUCUGUUCUUGCAUGUAGCGUAGAUAAGGGAGGUAUGGAAAAAAGUUGUUAAAAUAACACGUGAUUAUAGUUAAAACUUUUUCAUAACCAUCAAUCACUGUGUUCAGUUAUAAACCUAGAAUACAUAGACAUUUUUCUUGAUUCUCUGCCAAAACCUCAAGCUUCCUUUUUGAUCUCAUUGUAUCAUCAACGAUAUAACCGAAUCAUCCUUUACAACGACAGAGGCUAGCAGAAGAAGCAUUGAAUCUCCAAUAGUACUUGAUUAGAAGUACCGUGAAGAUGAAGUUUGGAGUAUUGUCAUUCUCUUUUGUUCUGAUCCUGGAAUUAGCCUUUGGUACAUUCUUGGUGGAGAAGAACAACUUAAAAGUGACUUCACCUGACAGCAUCAAAGGUGUUUAUGAAUGCGCCAUUGGGAAUUUUGGAAUUCCAAAAUACGGGGGAACACUUGUCGGAACCGUCGUGUAUCCCAUGUCUAACCACAAGGGAUGUAAGAGCUUCAGCGAGUUCGGUGUCUCCUUCAAAUCUUCACCUGGAAGCUUACCCACUUUCCUUCUUAUUGAUCGAGGAGGUUCGACUUCUUUCUUUUCUAUCUCACUUUCCUUCUUGUUACCUGAUCAGACAACGAUAGUUUUGUUAAAGUGUGUUUUAAAUGACUUUGCUAGUGAGCUAAGGUAUAAAAUGUCCGUUUAGCACUUUGUUAAGUGUGGUUAAAUGUCUGUUUUAUAACUCUUUUUGGACUUAAAAAUGUCAGAAAAUCUUUGUUUUUGUACAAACGCUAGUCAAGCACAGGAAAGUAAGAACACUUACUAUUUGUAUAUUGAUUAUGUUAAUAAAUAAUUUACAACUUCUUAAACUCGUAUUUAUACAACCUAAAACCCCAAUUUUCAUUUUCUAUUUAGAAAAACUUUUUUAUCUACUAAAUGCACCUCUUCUAAUACUAAAAAAUUAUAUUUAACCUAACAGCUACAAGUUUUAUUCAUUUUAUAUCGUUCUAAGAUCUUAGUAUCUUGCUUGUAUGUCCAUGUCAUUGUGUGGCUUGAAGAGUGUUUUAGUCUCUUAACCUGAGUUGGUUCUCUACGAACAGAUUGUUACUUCGCCUUGAAAGCAUGGAACGCUCAACAAGCCGGAGCAGCAGCCAUUCUAGUGUCCGAUAACAAACUCGAGCCACUAAUCACAAUGGACACACCAGAGGAAGACACUGCUAACGCAGACUAUCUAGAAAAAAUCAACAUCCCUUCAGCACUAAUCAGCAAAUCGUUAGGAGACAGCAUAAAGUCAGCUAUAUCCGAUGGCAACAUGGUCAACAUGAAGCUAGACUGGACCGAGUCAGUUCCACACCCGGACGAGCGUGUGGAAUACGAGCUUUGGACCGACAGCAACGACGAGUGCGGCAAAAAAUGCGACACGCAGAUUGAGUUUCUAAGAAACUUUAAAGGAGCGGCUCAGAUUCUUGAGAAAGGAGGGUACACUCAGUUCACACCGCAUUUCAUAACAUGGUAUUGCCCCAAGGCGUUUAUGCUGAGUAGACAGUGUAAGUCUCAGUGUAUCAACCAUGGAAGGUACUGUGCUCCGGAUCCUGAGCAGGAUUUUACGAGAGGGUACGAUGGAAAAGAUGUUGUUGUUCAGAAUUUGCGCCACGCUUGUGUGUUUAGAGUGGUUAAUGAGACUGGUAAGGCGUGGAAGUGGUGGGACUAUGCUACUGAUUUUUCUGUUAGAUGUCCCAUGAAGUAUAACAAGUAUACAAGUGAAUGUGCUGAUGAAGUUAUCAAGUCACUUGGUGAGUGUAAUGACUUCAUUAGCUUAUGAGAUUCUUUUCCCCUUUAGCUAAUUUCUACUCUUUUUUUUGUGUUGUGGUUUUAGGGAUUGAUCUUGAGAAGGUGUACUUGUGUAUGGGAGAUACUGAGGGAGAUGUGGAGAAUCCAGUUCUUAAAGCAGAACAAGAGUCACAGGUAGGCAAAGGCUCCCGUGGAGAUGUUACUAUUCUCCCAACACUUGUGGUGAACAACAGGCAAUACAGAGGUACCCCUCAAGAGCCAUACUAAAACAUGUUUACUUAUUUGAUUGCUUUUGAUAUAAUUUUUUUGUGGUUCUAGGUAAGUUGGAGAAAGGAGCAGUGCUGAAAGCUAUAUGUGCAGGGUUUCAAGAGUCAACAGAACCAGCUAUAUGUUUAACUGAAGGUUACAUUUCUCUGAAAGAUUACUCUAGAACUUAGUUAUUUGCAUUUCAAUAACUUGGAGGAGACGUUUGCUUUAAUAUUUUUUUUUUGUUUAUUACAGAUCAAAACACCAAUGAGUGCUUAGAAAACAAUGGUGGAUGCUGGCAAGAUAGAGCUGCUAACAUUACUGCAUGCCUUGUAUCCACUUGAGCUUGAAUUUUUCAACAAUUUUUUUCUUUAAUUUUGUUGUUGCUGGUCAAAUCUGAUUUGCUCUUCUUUGUUAUGAAUUGGUAUAUUAGGAUACUUUCAGGGGAAGACUGUGUGAGUGCCCUACUGUUCAAGGUGUCAAAUUUGUUGGUGAUGGUUACACUCACUGCAAAGGUAAAUUAGUUUGACAUUUUUAGCAUUGCUGCUAUAUUUGUAACUUUUGAAUAGUCUUCCUCAGUUACAUGUGUGUAGUAUGGGAUUCAGAAGAAUAGUAUUGUGUGCUGCUGUGGUUCUUUUAUUUUAUAUAGUCUGUACUUGUGGACAGCUUCUGGAGCUUUGCGCUGUGGAAUCAACAAUGGAGGAUGCUGGAGAGAAACCAGAGGUGGCUACACAUACUCUGCUUGCACUGUAAGUAAAUUGCCAUUUGCCAACUUCUAAUAUCUUAACAAUCAUUUUCUCAAGUAUUUAAUAAACUCUUUUUGAAAAUGGGUUUUUUAUUAGGAUGAUCAUUCAAGUGUUUGCAAAUGCCCGCCUGGUUUCAAGGGAGAUGGUGUAAAGAGCUGUGAAGGUAUAUGCAUGUAUAUAUGUACUAGUCUUUCAUGUGCAACCAACUUAGUAAAAGACAUAACAUCAUGUUGGUCUGGAAAGUGAUCUUUUUCGGUUGUUCUGUUUGUAUUGGCAGAUGUUGAUGAGUGCAAAGAGAAACUGGCUUGCCAGUGCCCUGAGUGUAAAUGCAAAAACACAUGGGGAAGUUAUGAAUGCACCUGCAGGAAGGGUUUGUUUUACUUGCGUGAGCUUGAUACUUGCAUUGGUAACCAUUCUUCAAAAUGCGACCUCGAAAUGUUACCAUUUAGAAACUCUGCACUCUAGCCUGAACUGUGUUUUAUGAUACAGGAGCAUUUGGAGCGGUGAAGCUAGGCUGGAGCUUUGUGUUGAUACUCUUACUAGCGUUAACUGCUGCGACUCUUUCAGGAUAUGCUAUCUACAAAUACAGAAUCAGGGUAAUGUUCACUUCACAUAGAGACUUGUAAGUCUUUGAUAUCUCUAUUCUAUAACCAAAAGAAACAUGUAUUGUUGUUACAUAUGUGCAGCAUUACAUGGACUCGGAGAUUCGGUCGAUCAUGGCGCAGUACAUGCCUUUGGACAGCCAGCCCAACAAUACUGAAACUCAUAUGGACUUUUGAGUCCAUCAAUCUGUAUGAGGAGUUGAAAGAUGACUCUUCUUUUUUAGUUCUACCAACCUUUUGUUUGAUCUAUAUUAGUAUAAUGCAACUUAGACCACACAAUAAGCCUAUUACCGGCUCCUCUUUUUAGUUUGAAUCUGUUUUUUUUUUCCUCCAAGAACCUGUUCUUAUGUCCCUAUGACACAAACUAUCAAACUGUAUGAUCAGUUAAUAGAUUGAUCUUCUAGUCCUGCAACCUUUCAUCUCUGAUGUAACUUCACAACCAUACUAGUAGAGUGACCAUUAGUCACUUUACAUGGAGCUGUAACAUUUUGUAAGUCAUAAGAAUCUCAGUUCAAUUCUUAUGCUUUCUUUUGUUGAUGGCAUCUCUAGAUGAGCCUAACCGUAUUAUUGUUUGUUGAUAUGUGGCAAAAGGACACCACCAAAUCCAAAUACAGUACACAAGUUUAGAAGAUGAUUGAUCACAAAAGUUGUACACAACUUAAAGAGACAGAAGAGAAUUCUAAGAUUUCAUGUAACAGAGUAUGAUAGCUCAUGUUACCAUUUCUCUAUCCUUCUCUUCUUACAAAGCCUUCGCUUGCUUCAUCUUCUUCUCCACCUUGUUCUUUGUUUAGGCCCUUUUCUUUGUUGCUCAUCAACUUGUAACCGUAAAACGCCAACACACCACCACUGCAACAACAAUAAUCCAACAAAUUUAAAUGUAAAUCAUAAUAAACUUGUAUAUGCAAGCAAAAUGUGUUUUCUUUUUCCUAUGGAACAUGAAUCUAAGAACUUUGGUGGAUGGAAAAAUUUAAAGAUAUCUCUUUGGGGUUUAGUUUAGGCUCUUCUUGCAAUCAUCUCUGGUGUUGCUUUACUGAAAUUGCAAUGUAAAAGAAUAACCAUUUUGAGUGUGUACCUUGUAAGGGUGGUCAAAAAGCCCAUGAAAGUAGAUCUCUGUAGAAAGAAAGAAAAAACAGGAGAGUGUAUUAUGUUUCAUUCAAAUCAACUGUUCAAACAAAUAAACUGAAUCAUCUGAAAUGUAAUCACGUUACCUGAAACAGCACCAACUUCAACUCUCUCAAAAAUAUGAUUGCCACUAUCGCUGUUCAACACAAGAACAUGUAAACAAACGAGUGUCAACAAGUUUGCUUUACAUCAAAAAAUGUCGGAGAAAUCACAUUGGUGAAAUGAUAAUCUGUUGACUUAUAUAUCAAUAUAUAUAACUGAAUAAGUCCCAGUAUCUCUUGGAAUAAGCCUUUAUGGUUAGCUACUUGGCAUGUCAGAGUGGUUAUCAAAGCUUUUACGCAAUCAAAAGCAAAUAUUUAAAAAAGUCUACAAAGAUGAAAACUAUACUAACCCAUCUGUCCUUUUAAGAACUUAGCAGAUGACUCUCCAAUCCUCUGAGCCUUUAGACUAGCCAUGCUCAGCGCAAAAAGAGCUCCACCAAGAAUGACACCAAACCUGAUAGCAGGAAUCCUUCCCGCUAUAAAAAAAACUUCCAGAUAUCAUAAAGGAAAGAAACCCACCCACAAACAAAAGCAAACCUGUACAGAAAGACAUUCUUUUAGUCACACCAUAAACGUUUAACACCAAGAUAUUUAUAACAUCUUUACCAUAAGGUAUCCCAACAUGAAAAUCUUGAGUUCUCGACACAUCCCUCAGAUCCUCACUGGAAGAGAAAGCUUCAACGAUCUCCUUCACAUCAGAAGGAGACUCCUCCGCUGCUUUCAAAAUAUACUCCCUACCUUCCUCCCCAACCUCUUUAGCCUUCGUCCCCAACUCCUCUUUAGCCUUCUCCGCUUGAAUCCUAAGCUGCUCAGAGGUAUCUUUCAAGAUAGUCAUCGCCUUUUGGGAGUUCACAUUGUACGCCUCGGAGGACACGCUCUGAAUCUUCGAAACCUGCUCUUUGACAGACGCAAGGGUUUGCUUCCACGCUUCCUGAGAUGUACUAUCAUUGUCAUCACCGUCUACUACACUCUUCUCCUUCUCCACCUCAACACCUGAUGGUUCCUGUUCAUAAAAAAAAAGACAAUACUGUCACUUGAUAGCCAAUUAGAGUCGAGCAUAGGAGGAUAUUACAUAAAGUCUUGGUUUUUGAAGAAAAGGGCAAAACUUUCAGAAACUCAUAAGUAAACAAAAACAAGUAUUUGAGCAGACCCAGUACUCAUAAAAGACAAUAUCUAAAACCCCCAAAGUGCACCUCACUUGAAUGUACAUAAAGUAUUGAUUUUUGAGGAAAAGGACAAAACUUUCAUAGAUUUUGACGAACUCAGACCAAAAUCUAAUUCCUAAAACAGAGCAAUUACAAGUAUUUGAGCAGACCCAGUACUAGUACUCAAUCCCCCAAAGUGCACCUCACUUGAAUGUACAUAAAGUAUUGAUUUUUCAGGAAAAGGACAAAACUUUCAUAGAUUUUGACGAACUCAGACAAAACCCUAAUUCAGAAACAGAGCAAUUACAAGUUUUUGAGCAGAGUCAGGACUACUAGUACUCACAGAUUCCUCGUGGGAAGCGGCGAAGGCGACGAAGGAGCGGUUAAGCUUGGUAUCUGAGGUAAACCGGAGACGUAGACCGGUACAGGAAACGAGAGAUGGAGCGGUGAGAUGGUGGCGUGGGGUGGGAAGGUGUUGGAAACGGAGAGAGCGAAGCGUGGAGGGGGGACGAGAGUGAGGUCUGUGGAGGAAGGUUGAGAUAGGGCUUCUGAUGGACAUCAGCUCCAUUGGGAUACUCAUCUCUUGAUGGAAAUGAAUACUCUCAGUCUCAGAGGAGAGAAGAGAACAGAGAGAGAGAGAGAGAGAGAGAGAGAGAGAGGUUUUGGUUUAGGGAUUUUCAGGCUUGUCUUCAACUAUGAAGCAAAGUAUUUUCGCUAAGGACUAAACGCAAAGAAAAGGAUGUUUUGGAACGACGUCGGAUCAUGUGGAAAUAUAAACGUGAGUGGGCUUUUACAGUAAGAAAAUAUCUCGGAUGGGUUUUUGUCGUCGUUUUGAUAAAUCUAAGCAAGACCCUCUAAGUCAUCUAGAGUCUUCCUCGCUUUUAACAAAACAGUAGUAGACCCUCUUAUUCAUUUAGAGACAACACUGAACAUCUAUUCUUCCAAGGUUUAUGACUUUUUUUUUUUUCCUCCAAAAGUAGAUAUCAUUUCUAAAUAAAACCCAGAAGGGUGAGAGUUAAUGAUGGAGAAAAGAUAUUUAGAAUAAAUAUCUUAUUUAUUUAGUGUUUUAUUUAGAGUUUAUUUAUUAUUAAGAUAUUUAUCUCUAAUGUUUUAGGGUUUCUAUUUUGGUUUUCAUAUAAAUAGACGUUUAUGCCUAGAGUUGUAUUCAGAUUAUUGAUAUUGAUAUUUUAUAAAAGAGAGGUUUGAAACCCUUUAUUUCCUUGUUUCGGCUAGAACUCGAGAGUUCUCAACGAAUUUAAGAAGACAUUGAUCUUAGGCAUUCUUAGACUAAAUAAGAUCUUUGUGAUUAUCCUAGUUUUCCGGGUAUUCCAAGAAUCAACGGAUCUCUAGUCCUAUCUUUUAAAGCUUCCGCUACAUCAGUUAACAACAAAGCUUAUUAAAUAGACAAGAAGAUCAGAAAGACUUUAAAUAAAUUUGUAACUUAUGUGAAGCAAAACUUAAUUAAGCCAUCUCAAGCUUGGAAUCUGUCAAAACCAUGUAGAAAGAUAUGACUCCACAGGGUUUCGUAGUGGUGAAAUGCUGGCAAUAGGUUUAUGACUUAUGUAUCAACAUAUUAUGUUAGUUACCAACUGUAAUGCAAGUUAAUGAAUCUUUUCAUUCUGAUGAAACUAAACUAAACUAAGCGCGCAAAGUAUAUAAUAGAAGGUUAACAAAAAAAAAAAGAAUAUCAUUUUAUGAAUAACGUAAACAUAUAUCAAUUCUGAAAUUGAUAUAACGUUGUAUGCAAACAUAUAGUAAUACGCCUUACCAAGCCUUUUGUUUAGUUCGAUAUAGUCCUUUUAUCUCUCGGAGUUGCUUCUUCUUAUUUUUCUGGUAUUGUAUUAGGUUUUAUUUUCAGUACUCCGCUACUUGUUUAUUUUAUAAUUUCUGUCAAAAAGAAAUUGGUAUAAAAUUUAACAUUUACAUCCAAAAAAAAUACGUCAUACCAAUUAAUAGGAUUGCCAUAAUAUAAGAAGAAAAAAGACAAGAAAUUAAAAUGCUCUUGAAGAAACAGCAAUUAGACACAUCUUAUGUAAAACUAUUAAGUGUUGGACAAAAAAAAAUGUAAAACUAUUAAGUCUCACCCAGAAACUUGAGAAUUUAUGUAACGUGAGUUUCUCCCUUAAUUCAACAAAUAAUAUUUGGAGAUUCUCGUGUUGUUUGAACGGGAUCUCUUUUGUAAGCAUAAUAAUAAAUAUUUGUAUUUUGAUCUGUACGUGUAGACACGAGAAGAUGUCGGUUUGUCUGUCCUACCCUCCCACAAAAUUGAAUGGCACGACACAUUGGUAGGAUGGAGUCACUGUCCGUUUCCUAAACUUCGUCUCCCAUGCUACGUACUAUUUUAUAGUCUUACUUUUAUAAACCUGUGCAUUUUACUUGUACGGUUCACUAAAUCUUAUUGCUGUAAAUUUUAAGUUAUUACAGUGUGUCACAGAAACGAUAAUUAAACGUACAACAUCAUAUUUUUCGGAAAAAAAAAAGAAUUAAAUUGAAUGUUGUAGAGCGCCUCUGAUCCUUAUGUUAAACAAGCAGUUUUAGCUUAGCUAGAGAGUUACUUAUUCAACUUUGUUUUCACGUUGUUCUGCUUCUGACUUGAUCAGUCGAUCAAACACCAGAUUGAUACUUUUACGCUUCUCGGUCAGUUGGGCCGAUCAAAUCUGCCUUAUUUACCAUUGCUUCGUACGUUGCUUCCUCCUUGGUGCAGUUGUGCUCCUAAUUAGUGUUCCACAUGCAAAUUAACCAAAAUAAUCUAAGACUGAGAAAGCAAUCCAUCAUUUUCUCAUUAUAAACCUCAUAAACUUAAAGAAUGUCCCAUGUCCCAUUGUUUUUUUUUUUUUUUUUUUUUUUUUUUUUAUAUUUUUGGUAUCUGGGCAGGCCACAUUCCCAACUAUCCCCCGAAAGGGGUCCAGCGCCCCAACGGAAGGGAUGUUAAAUCCGUUGUGGCCAAGACUCGAACCCGGGUGGCGGGCAGUACAGCUGUAUCUCUUUUACCACCAAACUACGAGCGCUUGGUUAUGUCCCAUUGUUUUAGUUUAUGUUAUAUUAAGGCUUCCAAUGGAGGUAGUAUGAGACGAGCAGAAUGAAUUUGGAUACUUAAUGGUAAAGUAUCUCACCCCGCACCAAUGCACCAUCCGUUACUUCUUCACAACCUUAAAGCAAACUAAUGAAUUAAUAUAUAUUUUUUCCAUAUCGAUGUAACCAAACUUAGUACGUAAGAAUAUAAUAAAAGAACGUAAAUUAAAAAUCUUGAAAUUCAUAUUACGUUUGUUUGAGAACACAAUACAAACGACCAGUUAAUAGGGUCGGCAUAAUAAAAAGAAAAGACAGGAAAAUAGAAAACAUCCAUUCGAACAUCUUAUUAAAUAUAUAUUCUCAUCCAUUUCAUAGCAUGGGAAUUAUCCACUCAAGCUUCAUCCGAACGCUGCUUAUUUCACGCUGCAACCACAUCCAAUCAAACAUAACACCGUUAAUAUGAUUAUAUGACAACCUCAAACAUGGUUAGACCGAGUAGCUUUGAAUCCUAAUUUUUGUAUCCAUAUAAAAUUAUUAACAUAUAUAUGAAACCGAGCGAGUGUGAGAGAUUCAUCAUUCAUACGUACCCGUUGCAGUUGAUGCUAGUGCUAAUGGGGAAAGGAACAUUGACUCCACAUGCCUUAGGAAGUCCAGCUGCCCGGCCAGCGUUGAGACCAGAGCCUAAGGCGCUCGCAGCAGUUUUAAGGCAACGACAAGCUUGCUGACGGUCGGGAGUUGUACGGGCAAUACUGUUAAGCUUACUAACACCGGUGCAGCACGCUCUGGGAAGGGGUCCACCUUGGGUCAAGUAGCCAAUGCAUGCCGCCACGUUGGUGUUAACGGUGCCACAGCUCAAAGCCGCCUUUGAUGUGAUGGGACCUGCCACAAUCAUGCAGGCCAAGACCAAGCAUGCCAAUUUCACUAGACCGGCCAUUUGUUUUUUCUCUUAGCGUUUUUGCGGAUUUGCAAAAGUAGAUGUGUGUAAUUGUGAUACUGAGUGAGGAAACGAGCCGAGGGAGUGACUGUUUAUAUAGAGAAUGAAGUAUAUGUUAUGAAUGUGGAUGUGAUUACAAGAAAGGACUACUUAGUUGGCUGUUGGUUACAAUUAAUGUAGAGUACCUAAUUAUGUUGGGUACCUCUCAUAUAUAUGUAUAUUUUCUGAUAUAAUUAUCUCAUCUGUUUUUUUGUUUGACAUUUUAUUUCAGUUUUAUUUCUGAAAACCAAAAUACAUUUUAUUAACGUACGUACGCCGUUCUUUCACUUCCACCGUAAGACUUUUGUAACUAUCCAUCUGGAAAAAAAUACUAGUAUUUUUAUGUAGAAAAAUAUUUGAAUAGAAGAUUUAUAUAUUACAACAUCUGUUCAAGAAUGAUUGAUUACUUUAGACCGGAGUUUUUUUAUAACCGAUCCCAAAAGCUUUAUAGGUCCGAGAACUAAUCACUACGAGACCCAUAAAAAUUUGGAGUUUUUUGCUAUCAAAAAUGUUCAUGGUGGCCAAAGGUGUCUACUCUAGAUUGGAGUUAGUAUCUGCUUAUAAAAAAUGAUGUAGCAGAUCCAACAAAAUACGCACCAAAAACAUAUUAAUAAAAUGAGAUAAACCACGAAAAAUUGCCCAAAAAUUAAACUAAAUAUAUAGUUAUCUCCUUUUCCAACGUAUGUGUGUUGGACGUAGCCAUAAAAGUUACUUACAAAGAUCAUGGAUUCAUGUACAUACUUUCAUAUAAAAAGUUUGAAUCAAUUUAUCAUGUAAUAUUAUUUGAUGGAUUGCACUUGAAAUAUAUUUUGGUGGGGGCAACUUCAAGUAGUAUUAUAAAUCAACAGACUCCACGACCCAGUGCCGUCCUAAUUUUAAAAAAACCACAAGCUAACUGAGAGAAAAAAACUAAAAUUGGCAUAAUUAGAGAAUAAAACUUCGGCUACUGAAUUUAAUGAUAAACUAGAUUUUGACUUGUGGAUCCUUACGGGUUUUUACUUUAUAUUUUAUAUAAAUAAAUAUAUAUAUAUAUAUAUAUCUUUGUUGUAAGUAGACAAUGUUAACAUUAUUAUUUUGUAUUAAAUGUUAUUUUGUUUUUCUUAUAAGUAUAACAUAUUGAAAAAUAUGUUGUAAAAAAAUAUAUAAUAUAAUAUUCCAUAUAUUACUUUUUCAAAAAUAUGUUGCUAUUUUUAUUUCAAUAUUAUAUUCAUAAAUGUGUCAUCAUAUUAUUAAUCAUAUUUUAUACGUACUAUCAUAUAAAUAAUUAUAUAAUUAAUAAUAUUUUAUAUGUACCAACAUAUAACUAAUUAUAUAUAUUAUAUUUUUAAAACUUAAUGUGAAAUAUAAAAACCAUAAUUUAAGUUGGUGUUUGAAAUUGAGUUUUAUGUUGUGUUUUUCUUAUAUAUAUAAAACAUUUUUCUAAUAAUGGUUACUGAAAAAUAUUUUAGUAAAAAUCAAAUUUUGAAUAUAUGUAUAUUUUUAAUCAAUUUUUGAUAUAAAUCAAUUUUAAAUUAAUAUUUUCAUUUGAAAUAUGUAUAUGAAGGGUAAAUUUGUUUUAUGAUUAUUUUAGACAGAAGCUUUUUUUUGCUAAUUAGAUUGAGUAAUUUUCGUAUAUUUUAAAGUUGACUGAGAUAUAUAAUUUCUCAAAUAUAAUGAAUUUCCAAUUUUUCUUAAUAGCAUAAGCCAUUCUUAUUUUUUUCUUUAAUAAGAUAGAUAUCUAUGUUUCUAAAUAAUAUUAUAUUUUUUUUAUUACUAUUCAUGUUUCAAAUAUUUCCUAAACGUACUUUUACUUUAAAUAAGAUUGAUGAUUUACACUACUAGACUAAAAAAACUUUUGAAGAAAAGCUGGCUGGAUUUAGUUUAUGUGUUUUAGAGCUGGAAGCCCAUGAUUUCUCAGCUUUACCUCGAGGUCGGGCCUGACGACUUCUAGCCCCUUGUGCAUAUACUGAAAGUUUAAUUGCAAUUUUUAUUUCUAAAAAUUUGAUUCACUCUUCUAUAACAGAAAAGGCAAUCAAAGUUGUGUCUAGACUUUUGGGAACCGUAUGCAAGUAUAAAUACUUCUGACAUUUUCUUUAAUAAGAAAAUAUCACAAGUAAAUUAUAAAACUAAAUUAAGUGAAAAGAUAAAUAACCUAUCAAUGAUGAAAACAUAGCCAAAAUUUAAAUAACAAUAUUAUUUCUUAAUGUUCAUUCUAUUUAAUUGUCCAAAUCAUCAUCUCAUAAGUGAUCAGUGUAAAGGCCAAAUCGAAUUAAUAAAUAGACCUCGAAUAUUUGUCACGGUUUUCCAAGGGUUGUCACGGUUCCUUGAAACAGUCCACCAUUUUCUCGAUUAUCAUAAGUCUAAACAAAUAAUUGAACAGUACCAACUACCAAGCGUGGGGAAUGUCUUGUUACUUCAUUUUCUGUAAAAUUAAAAUGCUCCGUUACUUCCCAACUGUAUUGCAAAUUAAAUAUAAUUUCCUUUUUGUUUAUGUUUGAUAAUUUUUGUUCAUAAUUAUGGAACUAAACUAACCUUCGGUAAGAAUAUAGUAGAAUAAAACGUAAAUCUUAGAUCUGAAAUUCAUAUAACGUUGAUUGUGAACAUAGUACAGACGACCAAAGUAAUAGGAACGUCACAACAUAAAAGACAGGAAACUGAAAAACUCUAAAAACAACAACCAUGGAACAUCUUAUUUUAGUAUUCGCUCAUCCAAUACAUAAUACUUGAACGUCUGCAUUAGCUUCAUCCGACCGCCGCUCAUUUCACACUGUAACCACAUACAAAUAAACAUAACACCGUUAUAAUAAAAUACUCAAAUCCCCAUUAUAAUUUUUUUUAGUAUAUACUUGUUGCACCGGUAUUAUCCAUCGGGAUAUGGUUAAACAGAACUUCAAAUCGUUAAUACAGUCUUUACUAAAACACUAAACUGUUAAUAUAAAAACUUAAGUUUUCAUUUAACAAAAAUAAUCUUCAUAUUAUCUACUUCUUGUUUAAAAAAACCACAGAGAGAGAAAGAGACAGAUUAACAUAUAUACCUGUUGCAGUUGGUGGUUUUGCUGAUCUUGUAAGGAAUGUUGACUCCACAUGCCUUAGGAAGUCCAGCUGCACGGGCAGCGUUGAGAGUAGGGAAGGCGUUAGCGGCUCCUACAAGGCAACGGCAAGCUUGCUGACGGUCUGGGGUUGUACGGGCCAGGUUGUUUAGACUAGUAACGCCGCUGCAGCACGCUCUGGGAAGGGCCGGCGCACCCUGGGCCAGGUAGCCAAUGCACGGUGCCACGUAGCCGCUAACGGUGCCACAACUCAGAGCCGCGUUCGAUGUGAUUGGACCGGCCACGAUCAUGCAGGCCAAGACCAAGCAUGCCAACUUCAUUAGACCAGCCAUAUUUCUCUCUUAGAUUUUUUUUGUUUGCAAAAUGAGAUGUGUGUGGAAUG
rnacentral:lncRNA from 1 species